GACGUAGGGCGCGAGCGUUUGUCCGGAUUUAUUGGGCGUAAAGAGCUCGUAGGCGGCUUGUCGCGUCGGCUGUGAAAACCCGCGGCUCAACUGUGGGCGGGCAGCUGAUACGGGCAGGCUGGAGUUCGGUAGGGGGAGACUGGAAUUCCUGGUGUAGCGGUGAAAUGCGCAGAUAUCAGGAGGAACACCGGUGGCGAAGGCGGGUCUCUGGGC
rnacentral:rRNA from 1 species